UCUAAGUUAUUACAUCAUAGAUAUUACAAGUUUAAUACAUUUUGCUCCUUUCAUUUUCUAUACCCCUAAGCUACGUCGACGGGGUACUGCUAGCUCUGGUCUCUGGGGGUAGGGCGCUAUCUAUGGAGCUACGCCCUUGCCUCGCGCCGCCGCGCCGCUCACGUGCGAACCUAUAAAACCCCAAAACAACGUGGGGUGAGAACCAACUCCAUGGUUCCCAGUGGGUACGGCCACCCAAGGGAGGAGCUCGACCAACA
rnacentral:lncRNA from 1 species